AUUAAAUACUACUUUUCUCGGUUCACCAAUGUGCACAUAGCAAGAGAGGCAGCCUAGCCCCUCAAUUAGUACAAUUAACCAUUAACUACAUUAAGACAUUGUAAUUAACAAUAACUUUACAAAGCUUUACAGAUUGUAGACUUUUCAUCAACCUAUCCCAAGCCAGAUCAUGUGAUUGCCUUGAUAUCAGAUCACCCAAAACCAAGCUAUAAUUGAUCCAGCAGCCAGACCAACAACAAGGAACAAAACAAUUACAAUUCCAGCAGUUUCUGCAUGCUGUAUUGGAACAACUUUAGGAGCUAACAUCAUCAGAACACUUGUCAAGUAGCCGUUCGAAAGACCCAAAAGACAAGUCAGGAUUGUUACUGGGAUCUCAGUUCGAAAGAAUUUGGGACCAUGCAAGCAGCCUAAGAAGAGAGGAAAAAAGAACAAUCUUGCAAAGCAACCACCAAUGGCAAGCUUUGCAUUCUCCAUCAUAUAGACUGCAGUCAAAGACUUGCCAACCAGAUCAAACACGUUGUAGCCAGUAAUGAGAACGAUCGAAUACCAAUCCUUGAGAGUCUCUGAGCGCACAUCCUCUGUUAUAUACCCAGGAAAUAUCGACAACGUCACAACAUAAAUAAGCAGGAUCCCAACCCCAUACCAUUUGAUGCUCCCAACAGUCUCCAACAAGGAUGAUCUCCACUGAGCCCCAGUUAGGGACCGCUUCUUCUUUUCCUCAUUCACAGCCUGAAUUUUCAAAUCUGUAUAGUACUUGAUCACAGGAAGGUGAUGCGCCACAUUGUAAAACAGAAUACAUAUGGCCAUAACCACAAUCCCAACAGCGAAAUAGAGAUUUGCACUUUUUCUGAGACCAUGUUCAUCUUGUGUAUAUGCAGCUUUGGUUAUGAUCCUUACAGAUGAAACCAGGACCCCCGAACCAGCAGUGCCAGCAACAACAGCCUGCAUAUACCUCUCAGGCAACUCCCCAGCUGCCCCAAUAAGCCCACCUUGGACCAACGCAUCCGCCACGCCGGAAAGCGCUAUCGCCGCGACUGUCACAUCAAACCCAUCAUCCAAGCCGACCCGACCCUUUAUAUAAACGGCAUCCAUAACCGGGACCACCAGCAGAGAUAAGACAAAGAGGGCCAGGCCAGCAUUUAUCCUAACAUAUGCAUCGGAUACAUGGGCACAAAAGACGAUCACCAAAAGGCAGCAGAGGCACACCAACAUGUAAGCGACGGCGAAUAUGCGGUCAACGGAUACGCCGGGAUAGAUAUAGGAGAAGUAAUCGACAGCGGUAAUGAAGGCGUUCCAUGGGAGGAGAAAGCCAAGGCCGAGAGUGAAGUAGGUUAUGUAGGCGAAGUGGAAAGUGUCUUUUGGAGCAUUUUGAGAGAUGGCAGGACUUGACGGGGCAGUGGUGGGUAGCAAGAGCGAGGAUUCGGAGUUGGGUUCGCCGUCGGUGGGUCUGCCGGUUAGACCCAUGGCAAGUCUGGUUCAGCAGAGUGGGUUUAGAUUCGGACUUUGGGUUAUUGGUGGUUGAUAAGAGAAAUUAGGCUGGUGGCGGAGAUUUGGGAAGAUUUUGAUUGGAUGCAAAACGACAGCGUCUCCACGCCUGCGUAUUGGAAUCUUUUCAAGAUCCAAUCUUUCCAGUAUUUAUAACUCAUUUGGGCCAUGAACAAAGGAUAUCAGAAGGCAAUGAGAUUCUCAUGUUCAUAAAUCUGUGCAAAUGUUUGCGUGCUCUUUUG
rnacentral:misc_RNA from 1 species